GACUCGCUGGAGCGGCGCCGCAGGCCCAGCCUUCGUGUUUGGGAGGGGAUUACCCGGGGGAACCUUGCAGCGGGGUCCCUCCACGUGCUCCUGACCGGGAAAGGUUUGGCAGAUGCAGAGGGGCUCCGGAGAAGGCCCCCGAAGCGGAAUGCCUGCAUUUGACGCCGUGGGCCCGUAGAUUUACCUUUAGGAUCCCCUUAGGCCGGAUUCUGCCAUCCUUAGUGUAGUACAUGUCUCCGGGAGGAGCUGGCUGAGUGCGCCAUGCUGGCUCACUCUGAUUUGGGGGCAGACUUUGCUCCCCUUCCCCUCCUCUGGGAGUACUAGAAGUACUGGAGUAGGGGUGGGAGAAGCUGGCCUCUUCUCUCUAUAGUUCCCUGCACUGUCCCGGCCUCAGUCCUUAUGCACCUCCAGGGAUCUCAGAGAAGCACCACAACUGCAAGUAACUUUUGGCUGAGAUGUAAUGCUGCUGAUUUGAGUGGAGUCAUUCCUGGUUUGUAUCCUUGGAAAUGAGAAGCAAAUCAGGCCCUCUUGAGUUGGUAGCACUCCCACCUACUUUGGAUGUGUGUGAAUGGCUACACAAGAUGCAAGACCAUGGAGAAUCAGGCCUAUAAUCCCACUUUGAUAUGUAACUUCCAUUAGUGUUAGUUGCAUUUUCCUGGUCCAUUAGGACAAUUCUCCUCAAAGCUGUAAAGGAUAGUCGUGAAUAUAAAGGUGAUGGCUGUAUUAAUA